rnacentral:rRNA from 1 species
UAGUCAUAUGCUUGUCUCAAAGAUUAAGCCAUGCAUGUCUAAGCACAAGCCGAUUAAUGGUGAAGCCGCGAAUGGCUCAUUACAACAGCCAUAGUUUCUUAGAUCUUACUUUUCUACUUGGGUAACUGUGGUAAUUCUAGAGCUAAUACACGCAAACAAGCUCAGACCUUACGGAAUGAGCGCAUUUAUUAGAACAAAAACCAAUCGGGCUUCGGUCCGUCAUUUGGUGAAUCUGAAUAACUUUGCUGAUCGCACGGUCUUCGUACCGGCGACAUAUCUUUCAAAUGUCUGCCUUAUCAACUUUCGAUGGUAGUUUAUGCGCCUACCAUGGUUGUAACGGGUAACGGAGAAUAAGGGUUCGACUCCGGAGAGGGAGCCUGAGAAACGGCUACCACAUCCAAGGAAGGCAGCAGGCACGCAAAUUACCCACUCCCGGCACGGGGAGGUAGUGACGAAAAAUAACGAGACGGCUCGCUAUGCGGUCCGUCAUCGGAAUGGGUACAAUUUAAAUCCUUUAACGAGGAUCUAUU